UUUGGGGAGUGGAUUGUAUCAAAAUGAGAUUAGAUUGAAUAUUAUAAUCCAUGUAUAGCAAUUAGCAAACUAAGCUCACUACAAUUGGUAGGAUAAUUCCCAAGCUCCAUCUCCAUCUAGCUCAAAGUUGCAAUAUUGUGCCUGUCUACUGAACCUUUGAAGAGCCAAAUUGCCAUUAAGCAAAGCAAACUAUCCAGAAGAUACUCUUUUCAAGCAGAGUCAUAUGAUCAAUUCUACGGAGCAGUACCAUACUUAUCAUCAGUUCGCACAUGAUAUUAGAGGUUAGUAUAUGCUGGACAAGAUGGCAAUGAUUAAUUUCAGACGAAGAAAGUUGAAACGCAUAAAGAAACCACCUUAGAAUCACUUGGAGUUAGAUUUUCUUGAAUAUGUUCCCACUUGUUUCCUUUUACUCCAUCUUAUCUUCUUCAUCUACGCUAUUUUCUUUUGUUUAUAGCUUUUAUAAAGUGAUUUAGUUUUGUUUUGAUUUUCUUUUUAAUUUAUAAGGGGAGAGUCUCCCUUAUUUAAGUUUUCCUAGUUUAUAUUGUACUGAGAGAAGUCCUCUCUUCUAGGUGCUUAGAUCUAGGUUUAUUUCAAGUAUUCGGGAUGAGUCGACCGGCCUUAGUAGGCUAGUUAACUUUGAGCCACUAUAGGAUCGAAGGUAAGGUUUAUGUUUGUCUUCUUGUAUUUCUUUUGUUUAUUUAUGAUAAGGCUUGGGGGUAUGCGGCUCAACCGCUGGUUGUCAUGGGA